CCUACGGGUGGCAGCAGUGAGGAAUAUUGGUCAAUGGGCGCGAGCCUGAACCAGCCAAGUAGCGUGAAGGAUGACUGCUCUACGGGUCGUAAACUUCUUUUAUAUAAGAAUAAAGUGCGGCACGUAUACUGUUUUGUAUGUAUUUUAUGAAUAAGGAUCGGCUAACUCCGUGCCAGCAGCCGCGGUAAUACGGAGGAUCCGAGCGUUAUCCGGAUUUAUUGGGUUUAAAGGGAGCGUAGAUGGGUUGGUAAGUCAGUUGUGAAAGUUUGCGGCUCAACCGUAAAAUUGCAAUUGAUACUGUCAGUCGUGAGUACAGUAGAGGUAGGCGGAAUUCGUGGUGUAGCGGUGAAAUGCUUAGAUAUCACGAAGAACUCCGAUUGCGAAGGCAGCUUACUAGACUGCAACUGACACUGAUGCUCGAAAGUGUGGGUAUCAAACAGGAUUAGAUACCCGGGUAGUC
rnacentral:rRNA from 1 species